GAAAUGCGAUAAGUAGUGUGAAUUGCAGAAUUCAGUAAAUCAUCGAAUCUUUGAACGCACAUUGCGCCCUUUGGUAUUCCUUAGGGCAUGCCUGUUCGAGCGUCAUCUAAACCUUCAAGCCCUGCUUGGUGUUGGGUGCCUGUCCCGCCUCCGCGCGCGGACUCACCUCAAAUCCAUUGGCGGCCCCCGCGUCGGCCACGAGCGCAGCAGAAACGCGAACUCGUGAGCCCGUCCGGGCGGCUCCCAGAAGCUACACCCACCCAGUUUGACCUCGGAUCAGGUAGGGAUACCCGCUGAACUUAAGC
rnacentral:misc_RNA from 1 species